GAGGAAAGCGGGCGGCGUGCCUAAUACAUGCAAGUCGAGCGAACGGACGAGAAGCUUGCUUUUCUGAUGUUAGCGGCGGACGGGUGAGUAACACGUGGAUAACCUACCUAUAAGACUGGGAUAACUUCGGGAAACCGGAGCUAAUACCGGAUAAUAUUUUGAACCGCAUGGUUCAAAAGUGAAAGACGGUCUUGCUGUCACUUAUAGAUGGAUCCGCGCUGCAUUAGCUAGUUGGUAAGGUAACGGCUUACCAAGGCAACGAUGCAUAGCCGACCUGAGAGGGUGAUCGGCCACACUGGAACUGAGACACGGUCCAGACUCCUACGGGAGGCAGCAGUAGGGAAUCGUCCGCAAUGGUGUAAAGCCUGACUGAGCAACGCCGCGUGAGUGAUGAAGGUCUUCGGAUCGUAAAACUCUGUUAUUAGGGAAGAACAUAUGUGUAAGUAACUGUGCACAUCUUGACGGUACCUAAUCAGAAAGCCACGGCUAACUACGUG
rnacentral:rRNA from 1 species